rnacentral:rRNA from 1 species
UACGGAGGGAGCUAGCGUUAUUCGGAAUUACUGGGCGUAAAGCGCACGUAGGCGGCUUUGUAAGUAAGAGGUGAAAGCCCGGAGCUCAACUCCGGAACUGCCUUUUAGACUGCAUCGCUUGAAUCCAGGAGAGGUGAGUGGAAUUCCGAGUGUAGAGGUGAAAUUCGUAGAUAUUCGCAAGAACACCAGUGGCGAAGGCGGCUCACUGGCCCGAUACUGACGCUGAGGCACGAAAGCGUGGGGAGCAAACAGG